UGAAUACGGGAUGCUACGGCAUUGAAGCAGUGUAUGUCAGACUUCCAAGAAAAGCUCGCAAUGUCAUAAACAAUAAAUGCCUGUACCAUAACCGACACAGGUGGGUAGGUAGAGUAUACUAAGGGGCGCGAGAUAACUCUCUCUAAGGAACUCGGCAAAAUGACUCCGUAACUUCGGGAGAAGGAGUGCCUUAUUUUAUAAGGUUGCAAUAACAAGAUCCAAGCAACUGUUUACCAAAAACACAGGUCUCCGCUAAGUCGAAAGACGAUGUAUGGGGGCUGACGCCUGCCCAGUGCCAGAAGGUUAAAGAAGUUGGUUAGCUUCGGCGAAGCUGAUGACUGAAGCCCUGGUGAACGGCGGCCGUAACAAUAACGGUCCUAAGGUAGCGAAAUUCCUUGUCGGGUAAGUUCCGACCCGCACGAAAGGCGUAAUGAUUUGGAUACUGUCUCGGAGAGGGGCUCGGUGAAAUAGACUUGUCUGUGAAGAUGCGGACUACCUGCACCUGGACAGAAAGACCCUAUGAAGCUUUACUGUAACUUGAGAUUGAAAUUGGACUUUAUUUGCGCAGUAUAGGUGGGGGACGUUGAGAAUAUUCUUGCGGGAAUAUUGGAGUCAUCAGUGAGAUACCACUCUUGUAAUGUUAGAUUUCUAACUUUGUAUCAUUAUCUGGUCAAAGGACAGUUUCAGGCGGGCAGUUUGACUGGGGCGGUCGCCUCCUAAACGGUAACGGAGGCGCACAAAGGUUUCCUCUGAACGUGUAGAAAUCGUAUCUAGAGUGUAAAGGCAUAAGGAAGCUUGACUGUGAGACCUACAAGUCGAGCAGGGACGAAAGUCGGUCUUAGUGAUCUGACGGUGCUGAGUGGAAAGGCCGUCACUCAACGGAUAAAAGUUACUCUAAGGAUAACAGGCUGAUCUCCCCCAAGAGUUCACAUCGACGGGGAGGUUUGGCACCUGGAUGUCGGCUCAUCGCAUCCUGGGGCGGUAGUACGUCCCAAGGGUUGGGCUGUUCGCCCAUGAAAGCGGUACGCGAGCUGGGUUCAGAACGUCGUGAGACAGUUCGGUCCAUAUCCGGUGUAGGCGUUAGAAUAUUGAGAGGAGCCUUCUUUAGUACGAGAGGACCGAGAAGGACAUACCUCUGGUGUACCAGUUAUCGUGCCAACGGUAAACGCUGGGUAGCUAUGUAUGGAGUGGAUAACCGCUGAAAGCAUCUAAGUGGGAAGCCCACCUCAAGAUAAGUAUUCUCGU
rnacentral:rRNA from 1 species